AAUUCAGUAGCUUCUGUGAGCUAAGAAAAUAAGAUAGAAAACAACAGAGGCACCAACAGGAGCAGCAGGGUGGGACUGGUGCUGCUGGUGCUGCUGCAAUAGUUGCCCUGGCAGCAGCUAAUCUUUGCUCCAGAGGCCUGUGAAGUUAACUGAUUCAACAUUGAAGAAAAAUGAUCUGAGCACACCAACUCAGAGCCACAUCCCUUCACUACCAGACUUACUCCUU